rnacentral:ribozyme from 1 species
AAAAAAAAAAAAAAAACAAAAAAAAAAAAAAAAAAAAAAAAUUUUUUUUUUUUUUUUUUUUUUUUGUUUUUUUUUUUUUUUUUAGAGAAGGAAAGGUGCUCAGGGUCUUUUCGUCUGGCCGUUACUUUUCUCGUAAACAAGAAUAACUCAAUUUCUAAGAAACAAUGCUAGUGACAGAGAGAAAGUCGUUUCCUCGCUCAUGCUGGACGGAAUUUACCUGUCAAUGAAUUUU